AAGCGGCAACAGCUCAAAUUUGAAAUCUGGCCCUAGGCCCGAGUUGUAAUUUGCAGAGGAUGCUUUUGGUGAGGUGCCUUCCGAGUUCCCUGGAACGGGACGCCAUAGAGGGUGAGAGCCCCGUCUGGUCGGACACCGAGCCUCUGUAAAGCUCCUUCGACGAGUCGAGUAGUUUGGGAAUGCUGCUCUAAAUGGGAGGUAUAUGUCUUCUAAAGCUAAAUAUUGGCCAGAGACCGAUAGCGCACAAGUAGAGUGAUCGAAAGAUGAAAAGCACUUUGAAAAGAGAGUUAAAUAGCACGUGAAAUUGUUGAAAGGGAAGCGUUUAUGACCAGACUUGGCCCGGUUGAUCAUCCAGCGUUCUCGCUGGUGCACUCUGCCGGUCCAGGCCAGCAUCAGUUCGUCGCGGGGGAUAAAGGCUUCGGGAAUGUGGCUCCUCCGGGAGUGUUAUAGCCCGUUGCGUAAUACCCUGCGGUGGACUGAGGUCCGCGCUUCUGCAAGGAUGCUGGCGUAAUGGUCAUCAACGACCCGUCUUGAAACACGGACCAAGGAGUCGUCUUCGUAUGCGAGUGUUCGGGUGUAAAACCCCUACGCGUAAUGAAAGUGAACGCAGGUGAG
rnacentral:rRNA from 1 species